rnacentral:rRNA from 1 species
UGGGGAAUAUUGGGCAAUGGGCGCAAGCCUGACCCAGCAACGCCGCGUGAAGGAAGAAGGCCCUCGGGUUGUAAACUUCUUUUAUUCGGGACGAAACAAAUGACGGUACCGAAUGAAUAAGCCACGGCUAACUACGUGCCAGCAGCCGCGGUAAUACGUAGGUGGCAAGCGUUAUCCGGAUUUACUGGGUGUAAAGGGCGUGUAGGCGGGAGAGCAAGUCAGACGUGAAAUUCCAGGGCUCAACCCUGGAACUGCGUUUGAAACUGUUCUUCUUGAGUGAUGGAGAGGCAGGCGGAAUUCCGU